UCGAGAAUCAUUCGCAAUGGGCGCAAGCCUGACGGUGCGACGUCGCGUGGAGGAUGAAGGUCUUCGGAUUGUAAACUCCUGUCAUGUGGGAUAAAUGGCUGGCACACGAAUAGUGUGUCGGAAUGAUAGUACCACAGGAGGAAGAGACGGCUAACUCUGUGCCAGCAGCCGCGGUAAUACAGAGGUCUCGAGCGUUGUUCGGAUUUACUGGGCGUAAAGGGAGCGUAGGCGGUUCGGUAUGUCGAAUGUGAAAGCCCACAACUUAACUGUGGAAUGGCAUUCGAAACUACCGGGCUAGAGUACUGGAGAGGAGAGCGGAAUUCUUGGUGUAGCGGUGAAAUGCGUAGAUAUCAAGAGGAACACCGGUGGCGAAGGCGGCUCUCUGGACAGAUACUGACGCUGAGGCUCUAAAGUUAGGGGAGCAAACAGG
rnacentral:rRNA from 1 species